CCUUGUGACUCCGCCUUCAACCAGACAGCUCCGCCUACUGUGGACUGUAUAUAUAAACAGCUUUCGUCUUUCGGGAACAACACACUACUGUACAACCAUCACGAUGCAACGUCUUCUUGUUCUCGCCUGCCUGGUGGCCGUGGUCGUCGCCGACAGCUACAAGACUCCCAUCCCAAUCCUGAAGGACGACCGCACACAGAACGCUUAUGGCGAGUACACCUUCGACUUCGAGACUGGAAACGGCAUCGCCAGGAACGAGGCUGGAAGGCAGGCUGAUGGACAGGAGUCCUCA
rnacentral:lncRNA from 1 species